UCUCAAGAACGAUGACCUUUGGCCGC
rnacentral:piRNA from 1 species